GACGAACGCUGGCGGCGUGCUUAACACAUGCAAGUCGAACGGAAAGGCCCUGCUUUUGUGGGGUGCUCGAGUGGCGAACGGGUGAGUAACACGUGAGUAACCUGCCCUUGACUUUGGGAUAACUUCAGGAAACUGGGGCUAAUACCGGAUAGGAGCUCCUGCUGCAUGGUGGGGGUUGGAAAGUUUCGGCGGUUGGGGAUGGACUCGCGGCUUAUCAGCUUGUUGGUGGGGUAGUGGCUUACCAAGGCUUUGACGGGUAGCCGGCCUGAGAGGGUGACCGGCCACAUUGGGACUGAGAUACGGCCCAGACUCCUACGGGAGGCAGCAGUGGGGAAUAUUGCACAAUGGGCGGAAGCCUGAUGCAGCAACGCCGCGUGCGGGAUGACGGCCUUCGGAUUGUAAACCGCUUUCGCCUGUGACGAAGCGUGAGUGACGGUAAUGGGUAAAGAAGCACCGGCUAACUACGUGCCAGCAGCCGCGGUGAUACGUAGGGUGCGAGCGUUGUCCGGAUUUAUUGGGCGUAAAGGGCUCGUGGGUGGUUGAUCGCGUCGGAAGUGUAAUCUUGGGGCUUAACCCUGAGCGUGCUUUCGAUACGGGUUGACUUGAGGAAGGUAGGGGAGAAUGGAAUUCCUGGUGGAGCGGUGGAAUGCGCAGAUAUCAGGAGGAACACCAGUGGCGAAGGCGGUUCUCUGGGCCUUUCCUGACGCUGAGGAGCGAAAGCGUGGGGAGCGAACAGGCUUAGAUACCCUGGUAGUCCACGCUGUAAACGGUGGGUACUAGGUGUGGGGUCCAUUCCACGGGUUCCGUGCCGUAGCUAACGCUUUAAGUACCCCGCCUGGGGAGUACGGCCGCAAGGCUAAAACUCAAAGGAAUUGACGGGGCCCCGCACAAGCGGCGGAGCAUGCGGAUUAAUUCGAUGCAACGCGUAGAACCUUACCUGGGUUUGACAUGGAUCGGGAGUGCUCAGAGAUGGGUGUGCCUCUUUUGGGGUCGGUUCACAGGUGGUGCAUGGCUGUCGUCAGCUCGUGUCGUGAGAUGUUGGGUUAAGUCCCGCAACGAGCGCAACCCUUGUUCACUGUUGCCAGCACGUUAUGGUGGGGACUCAGUGGAGACCGCCGGGGUCAACUCGGAGGAAGGUGGGGAUGACGUCAAGUCAUCAUGCCCCUUAUGUCCAGGGCUUCACGCAUGCUACAAUGGCUGGUACAGAGAGUGGCGAGCCUGUGAGGGUGAGCGAAUCUCGGAAAGCCGGUCUCAGUUCGGAUUGGGGUCUGCAACUCGACCUCAUGAAGUCGGAGUCGCUAGUAAUCGCAGAUCAGCAACGCUGCGGUGAAUACGUUCCCGGGGCU
rnacentral:rRNA from 1 species